rnacentral:lncRNA from 1 species
GCAAAACAUAAUCGUUUCAAUCCCCAAAUUGGUAUUCAUACUCCUCUCUUCCUCCAUUCCUCCCAAAUCAUUUCAACUCAAGAUAUUCCAAAAAUCACACCAGAAUUUGGUAUCAUACAAAUUAAGCACCGUAAUCCCUUGCAUCAUUCCACAUUGUAAAAUUUUUUAUAUUAUUUGUUUCAUUGAUUAGGGAUUUAUCACAUCUAUAAAACCCUAAUUGGUGAUGAAGGUACAAAAAUCUGAUUUUUCUGAGCUAAUACGAAGUGGGUUCUAAGUUUCCGGCAGGUUAUUGCAUCACACAGAAGCAGUUCAAAUUUGUUUUCAAACAACAAUGAGGAAAUGGGCCAAAACUCAAUUUCGACUGCUCAUAAAUAUAUUCACUCUUCUCUGGGUUCUGUAGAGUACAACAAAUACUGAAGCUACUCCUUGUUCAUGGGUUCCGUCAAGACCCAGCGAGUUUGAACGUCAUCUAAGUCUUUGGAGAUCAUUGAGCCAAAAGAAGAAAAAUUUGGGACUCCUCAUCACCGCAUUACCAGGUGGUCCCAGUCUAUUAGAAUUCUAUCGGAUUCAAAGGAAAAGGGUAUUCGUCCGUCAUAUGUAAGAGCCGUGCAAUUCAACGCUGAAUCUUCAGGGAAGACGAACCUAAAGAGGUCUAUGGAAGCUUCGAUAACUAAUCCCAACAACAAAAAGGAAAAAGGCGGUGCUCAAAUACGGGCCACAGACAAGUCACAUUAUCGUUAGUAAUAUUAAUUACUAAUUUUCGUCACUACAGUGAUAUUUGUUCACACAAUCCCAUCAUAUUGUUUCACAUUUUGUUGUGAAUGUAAGAAACAUCUUACAUUACUGAGGCAGUUAUAACUCAAGUCUUUGGUUGAAUAGGAGAUUACAUGCACUGCAAUACCUGGUAGUCUAAUAUCGAUCAUGUCAUCAUUCCAAUCAUGAUGGAGAAGAAAGCUCAUUGGAUACUUGGUCACUACGAUGUGAAGGACAGAUGCUUUGCACGUUCAUAACUCAAGUCGGCCGACUUUGAGAGAUAGAAUCGUGUGCUGCGAUGUAGAAGCUUUCAUUUAUGUUCUCCCCUGUUUUGUGGUGAAGAUAAAUGCAUGGCAACCAAAGACCAUCAAUGGCAUUAAAUGGCAAACCACUUGAUCUGAAAAUCGUGACUAACAUACCACAAGAUGAUCACGGGUCGGUACUUUGUCUAAUCUAUUUCUGUGAUAUUGGAAUAUUUACUUAUUGAUUCAUGGAAGUGACCUGGGAUAUCCUUUUCUUUCUUUUAUUUCCCCAUAUGUGAGUAAUUCUUAGUAACAUACAUAUUAAGUUCUUAAUUGGUACAGUGAGAUAAUUAAAUAAAUAUAUUUUAUACAAGAUAUGCAUAACCAUAUAUCUGGGAUGAUGAAUGUGGUGCAUUUGAGGGAAAAUUUUGAUAUUUUGCUGAAAAUUAUGAAACAUCAUCCUGUCUGAUGUGCUUAUGAUGUGGUCGAUCAGUGUAUGUUGCAUUUUAUAAAUACUAAUGCAGUGCCUCUUGUCCAUCUCUUUCAAGUAACAUGAUCUAUUUUAUUUUGUUGUUAUUAAGUAAGAUGUUUGGAGGAAAAAAAAAAAAAAAAAAAAUAAUAAUAAUAAUAAUAAUAAUAAAUAAAAAAUAUAUAUAUAUAUAAUAAUGAGGGAUUGAGUCAGAUUCAACUUUGUUAACAGAUUCUCCUUUGACUCCAUAAUAUGUAAGCUUCAACAGUUUAUUCAUCUAAGAGUUACAUUUUUUUUAUUGGUUUCAUAAAUCAAGUUUCUACACUUUUUUUGCUUUUCUCUUUUCUUAUAUUAGGUUUUCUAACAUUUUUGUAGAAUUGUUGCAGACAUGAUUGUUGGCCAUAUGUCAUUAAGUUCAUCGAGUUCAUUAUAAACCAAAAAUUGAUGAAAUGGCGAUGACUAUGAUCCAAAAGUAUCCAGAUGUAACUUGGUCUGUCAACUAUUCAAGCAUGGCCGCUAGAAGAUGAUUGAAGCAUAUAAUAUGGAUUUUGACCUCAUACUUCCAAGUGUUAGGUGCAACAGGACGAUGAAGGGUGUUGUUAUUGUUUGAAUCUUACCUGGAAAGUUUGUUUGAUGUUUAUUUUAGUGUGGCACAGUUCGAGUAGAAGUUUUUGUAUCAUAUCUCUUUGUGUGUGAGAAUUUCAGUAUUUCGUCAUAUAAUUUUGGAAUGUUUCCUAGACUUGCAACAUCAUUUUUCGAAAUUUCAGUGAAAAUUAUAAUCAGG